AACGAACGCUGGCGGCAUGCCUAACACAUGCAAGUCGAACGAGACCUUCGGGUCUAGUGGCGCACGGGUGCGUAACGCGUGGGAACCUGCCCUUAGGUUCGGAAUAACUCCCCGAAAGGGGUGCUAAUACCGGCUAAUGUCUUCGGACCAAAGAUUUAUCGCCUUUGGAUGGGCCCGCGUUGGAUUAGCUAGUUGGUAGGGUAAAAGCCUACCAAGGCGACGAUCCAUAGCUGGUCUGAGAGGAUGAUCAGCCACACUGGGACUGAGAAACGGCCCAGACUACUACGGGAGGCAGCAGUGGGGAAUAUUGGACAAUGGGCGAAAGCCUGAUCCAGCAAUGCCGCGUGAGUGAUGAAGGCCUUAGGGUUGUAAAGCUCUUUUACCCGGGAUGAUAAUGACAGUACCGGGAGAAUAAGCUCCGGCUAACUCCGUG
rnacentral:rRNA from 1 species